GUGGGGAAUAUUGGACAAUGGGCGCAAGCCUGAUCCAGCAAUGCCGCGUGGGUGAAGAAGGUCUUCGGAUCGUAAAGCCCUUUCGACAGGGACGAUGAUGACGGUACCUGUAGAAGAAGCCCCGGCUAACUUCGUGCCAGCAGCCGCGGUAAUACGAAGGGGGCUAGCGUUACUCGGAAUUACUGGGCGUAAAGGGCGCGUAGGCGGCUCUGUUAGUCAGGCGUGAAAUUCCUGGGCUUAACCUGGGGACUGCGCUUGAGACUGCAGGGCUUGAGGCCGAGAGAGGGUGGUGGAAUUCCCAGUGUAGAGGUGAAAUUCGUAGAUAUUGGGAAGAACACCGGUGGCGAAGGCGACCACCUGGCUCGGUUCUGACGCUGAGGCGCGACAGCGUGGGGAGCAAACAGGAUUAGAAACCCCAGUAGUCC
rnacentral:rRNA from 1 species